CCCUUAGAUGUUCUGGGCCGCACGCGCGCUACACUGAUGCAUUCAACGAGUCUAAAACCUGGUCUGAUAGGGCUGGGUAAUCUUUUGAAUGUGCAUCGUGAUUGGGAUAGAUGAUUGCAAUUCUUCAUCUUCAACGAGGAAUGCCUAGUAAACGCAAGUCAUCAGCUUGCAUUGAUUACGUCCCUGCCCUUUGUACACACCGCCCGUCGCUCCUACCGAUUGAAUGUUCCGAUGAAUACCAUGGACUGAGAGUAUGAAUGGGUUCGCCUAUUUCUGCUUCUCGGGAAGUGGAGUAAAUCUUACCAUUUAGAGGAAGGAGAAGUCGUAACA
rnacentral:rRNA from 1 species